ACUUGGCCCAAGCUUCUCGAACACCUGGUAUCACCAUUAGAGUUCAUUCACAGGAAGGUUCCGUUUAGUUCCAAACUUCGAAAAAAUCCACAUGAGUAAACAAACUACACAAACACUAUACACGGAAUUGGAUUUCUGUCACUUGGGCAUCAAACAAAGAAAGGUAGCCAGAAAUAUUAUGAUUCAUUCAUUUGUAACACUAACAAACCUCACAGGUCACUGAACAUAGAACCAAUUAAAUAUUAGAGAUGCAUUUGAACGGUGGUGGAAAUCAAUGAGCUUAGUUGGGAUACUUACAAUGCAAAUAUGAUUUCGGUAA